rnacentral:rRNA from 1 species
UACGUAGGGGGCAAGCGUUGUCCGGAUUUAUUGGGCGUAAAGCGCGUGUAGGCGGCCAGGUAGGUCCGCUGUGAAAACUCGAGGCUCAACCUCGAGACGUCGGCGGAAACCAUCUGGCUAGAGUCCGGAGAGGAGAGUGGAAUUCCUGGUGUAGCGGUGAAAUGCGCAGAUAUCAGGAAGAACACCCGUGGCGAAGGCGGCUCUCUGGGACGGUACUGACGCUGAGACGCGAAAGCGUGGGGAGCGAACAGG